rnacentral:rRNA from 1 species
CCUACGGGCGGCAGCAGUGGGGAAUAUUGGACAAUGGGCGAAAGCCUGAUCCAGCUAUGCCGCGUGUGUGAAGAAGGCCUUCGGGUUGUAAAGCACUUUCAGUGGGGAAGAAAGCCUUGGGGCUAAUACCCUCGAGGAAGGACAUCACCCACAGAAGAAGCACCGGCUAACUCCGUGCCAGCAGCCGCGGUAAUACGGAGGGUGCGAGCGUUAAUCGGAAUUACUGGGCGUAAAGCGCGCGUAGGCGGUCUGAUAAGCCGGUUGUGAAAGCCCCGGGCUCAACCUGGGAACGGCAUCCGGAACUGUCAGGCUAGAGUGCAGGAGAGGAAGGUAGAAUUCCCGGUGUAGCGGUGAAAUGCGUAGAGAUCGGGAGGAAUACCAGUGGCGAAGGCGGCCUUCUGGACUGACACUGACGCUGAGGUGCGAAAGCGUGGGUAGCAAACAGGAUUAGAUACCCCAGUAGUC